rnacentral:rRNA from 1 species
AGAGUUUGAUUAUGGCUCAGGAUGAACGCUGGCGGCGUGCUUAACACAUGCAAGUCGAACGGGGAUGCUUAUGGAAGGAGUGCUUGCACUUUGGAAAUGAGUAUCUUAGUGGCGGACGGGUGAGUAACGCGUGGGUAACCUGCCCCAUACCGGGGGAUACCACCUGGAAACAGGUGCUAAUACCGCAUAAGCGCACGGGAGCGCAUGCUCCUGUGUGAAAAACUCUGGUGGUAUGGGAUGGACCCGCGUCUGAUUAGCCAGUUGGCAGGGUAACGGCCUACCAAAGCGACGAUCAGUAGCCGGCCUGAGAGGGUGGACGGCCACAUUGGGACUGAGACACGGCCCAAACUCCUACGGGAGGCAGCAGUGGGGAAUAUUGCACAAUGGGGGAAACCCUGAUGCAGCGACGCCGCGUGAGUGAAGAAGUAUUUCGGUAUGUAAAGCUCUAUCAGCAGGAACGAGACAAGACGGUACCUGACUAAGAAGCCCCGGCUAACUACGUGCCAGCAGCCGCGGUAAUACGUAGGGGGCAAGCGUUAUCCGGAAUCACUGGGUGUAAAGGGAGCGUAGACGGCUGAGCAAGCCUGAAGUGAAAGGCGGGGGCCCAACCCCUGGACUGCUUUGGGAACUGUACGGCUGGAGUGC